CGGUGCGGCUCUAAGGGUCGUUGCUGAUGGGGCAGAAGUCAGCCGAGGCCAUAGUACCGGCGGAAUCAUGCGUGAUUGCCGGGAAGGGC
rnacentral:ncRNA from 1 species